AAUUGGUAUACAUGGUACAUCAAGAAAUGCAAACCCAUCAUUUGCUACUUAUUUUCAAUUCCCACAAAGCCUAAGGACGCAGAAUUUAUGCAAAAGCGUUCUCCUGUUGGCCUUGGGCCAUCAUCAAAAACAUGACCAAGGUAAAACUUACAUUUCUGCAUACUACUUCCACCCUAAUCAUUCCAUGUGAAGCAUCUGAUAUACGUUCAACACUCUCAACAGAUGGUGAUAAUUCAAGAGUUUUGUAGAAUGAUGGCCAUCCUGAACCAGAAUCAUACUUUGUGUCAGAGCUAGAAUUUAAAAAAUCACAGAAAAAUACAAAAGUAAGUACUUGUUGAAGUAACAAAAAUCAAAACUCAUUUUACCUAAAGAGUGGAGUGUCACAACAAACACAGGUAUAAGUUCCUUUCUCGUGAUGGUCAUAAAAAUUGCCAGUAAAAGCCUUCAAAUAUAAAUUUAGUUUUGAAAUGAUUCUCAGAACUAACAAUACAAUUAGGUUUUACUAUUUCAGUGCCUUUUUCUUGAGUCACUCUGAAUUGCUGAGGUGUCAGUUUCUUUUGCAGAUCUUGACAGGAACCUUUGCCUUGGCAUGACAUGUUUCUUUGAUUAUCUAUUCAGAAAUAAAUACAAAUAAUGUUGCACUUUAAAUGCUGUUGCUUACGUAACUAAAACUUACACGUAGACGAGACUGAACAAGUUAAUCCUGCACUAGAGACCCGUUCGCAGAGCCUCACACUUUUACCUGUCCCUACAAUUCUGCUGAUUGUGCGACCAAACAUCGCUAAGCAUCUAGAAAUAAAUGUUCCAAUCACUGUAGCCAUAUGAGUUAUGUAAUCCUGAUAUCUGUAGCGUAAAUAUCUCCUGUGCAACGAUGCCUCAUUUUCUAUUACGCAGUUGAAACGUUUUAUGCAAGAAAAACAACCCUGGCCACAAAUGUUCAUUUAAUCAUACAGUAAUUCUGAUGAUUAUCUGAUCAAGAAAGUAAAUGCAAAUUUAGCGAUAUCCAAUAUGUAUUCAACAAUUGCAACACGGUCGAUACACACUGAAAAUGCCUAACCAAAUUUAAGCCUUGGCGGGAGCUGCAGGGGUAGCGGCGGCAGCAGCAGCCGGGGUCUUGGUCUUCUUGGUAGGUCCCAUAAACGAGGCCUUGUCUGCCGGAGUUUGGAAUCUUCCGUGACCGAACUUGGAA